rnacentral:rRNA from 1 species
ACGCUCGACACCUACGGGAGGUAGCAGUUGGGAAUAUUGGACAAUGGAGGAAACUCUGAUCCAGUGACGCCGCGUGAAGGAAGAAGGUCUUCGGAUUGUAAACUUAUUUUGUCAGGGAAGAAAAAUGACUGUACCUGAAGAAAAAGCACCGGCUAACUACGUGCCCGCAGCCGCGGUAAUCUGAGCGGGCUGGCAAGGC